UACGUAGGGAGCAAGCGUUGUCCGGAAUCAUUGGGCGUAAAGCGCGCGUAGGUGGCCCCAUAAGUCCGCUGUGAAAGUCAAAGGCUCAACCUUUGAAAGCCGGUGGAUACUGUGGGACUAGAGUACGGAAGAGGCGAGUGGAAUUCCUGGUGUAGCGGUGGAAUGCGCAGAUAUCAGGAGGAACACCGAUGGCGAAGGCAGGUCUCUGGGCAUUAACUGACGCUGAGGAGCGAAAGCAUGGGGAGCGAACAGG
rnacentral:rRNA from 1 species